rnacentral:rRNA from 1 species
GCUGCCCCCUUUCUUCGUUCCUAAUACAUGCAAGUCGAGCGAACAGACGAGGAGCUUGCUCCUCUGACGUUAGCGGCGGACGGGUGAGUAACACGUGGAUAACCUACCUAUAAGACUGGGAUAACUUCGGGAAACCGGAGCUAAUACCGGAUAAUAUAUUGAACCGCAUGGUUCAAUAGUGAAAGACGGUUUUGCUGUCACUUAUAGAUGGAUCCGCGCCGCAUUAGCUAGUUGGUAAGGUAACGGCUUACCAAGGCAACGAUGCGUAGCCGACCUGAGAGGGUGAUCGGCCACACUGGAACUGAGACACGGUCCAGACUCCUACGGGAGGCAGCAGUAGGGAAUCUUCCGCAAUGGGCGAAAGCCUGACGGAGCAACGCCGCGUGAGUGAUGAAGGUCUUCGGAUCGUAAAACUCUGUUAUUAGGGAAGAACAAAUGUGUAAGUAACUAUGCACGUCUUGACGGUACCUAAUCAGAAAGCCACGGCUAACUACGUG